rnacentral:rRNA from 1 species
AGAGUUUGAUCAUGGCUCAGGGUGAAUGCUGGCGGUGUGGAUAGGGCAUGCAAGUCAAGGGGACCGCAAGGUAACCGGCAGACGAGAUAGUAACGCGUAGGAACGUACCCAGAAGUCGGGCACAGCUCGCCGAAAGGCGGGGUAAUUCCCGAUGGUGUCGCAAGACUAAAGAUUUAUCGCUUCUGGAGCGGCCUGCGUAGUAUCAGCUAGUUGGUGAAGUAAUGGUUUACCAAGGCUAUGACGCUUAGGGGAGCUGAGAGGCUGACCCCCAUCGAUGGAAUUGAGAUACGGUCCAUACUCCUACGGGAGGCUGCAGUCGAGAAUAUUCGACAAUGGGCGAAAGCCUGAUCGAGCGACACCGCGUGGUGGAUGAAGUCCUUCGGGACGUAAACAUCUUUUAUGAGGGAGGAAGUUAUUGACGUUACCUCAUGAAUAAGGGGCUCCUAACUCUGUGUCAGCCGCCGCGGUAA